GUCCCUAUCGUCUAGUGGCCUAGGACAUCACCAUUUCAUGGUGGUAACUGGGGUUCGAAUCCCUGUGGGGACGCCA
rnacentral:tRNA from 1 species